UCCUACGGGAGGCAGCAGUGAGGAAUAUUGGUCAAUGGACGGAAGUCUGAACCAGCCAUGCCGCGUGCAGGAUGACUGCCCUAUGGGUUGUAAACUGCUUUUCUGAAGGAAGAAAGGUACCUACGUGUAGGUAUUUGCCGGUACUUCAGGAAUAAGGAUCGGCUAACUCCGUGCCAGCAGCCGCGGUAAUACGGAGGAUCCGAGCGUUAUCCGGAUUUAUUGGGUUUAAAGGGUGCGUAGGCGGUAUAAUAAGUCAGUGGUGAAAGUCUGUGACUCAACCAUAGAAGUGCCAUUGAAACUGUUAUACUUGAGUAUAGAUGAGGUAUGCGGAAUGUGUAAUGUAGCGGUGAAAUGCUUAGAUAUUACACAGAACACCGAUUGCGAAGGCAGCUUGCUAAACUAUAACUGACGCUGAUGUACGAAAGCGUGGGUAGCGAACAGGAUUAGAUACCCUGGUAGUCCACGCCGUAAACGAUGAUAACUGGUUGUUGGCGAUACAUAGUCAGUGACUGAGCGAAAGUAUUAAGUUAUCCACCUGGGGAGUACGUUGGCAACAAUGAAACUCAAAUGAAUUGACGG
rnacentral:rRNA from 1 species